UUUUCCCAGGGGGUACCUGCGGAAGGAUCAUUACACACAGCAUGCCAGAAGGGUAGACCUCCCACCCUUGUGUAUUAUUACUUUGUUGCUUUGGCGAGCUGCCUUCGGGCCUUGUAUGCUCGCCAGAGAAUACCAAAACUCUUUUUAUUAAUGUCGUCUGAGUACUAUAUAAUAGUUAAAACUUUCAACAACGGAUCUCUUGGUUCUGGCAUCGAUGAAGAACGCAGCGAAAUGCGAUAAGUAAUGUGAAUUGCAGAAUUCAGUGAAUCAUCGAAUCUUUGAACGCACAUUGCGCCCCUUGGUAUUCCGGGGGGCAUGCCUGUUCGAGCGUCAUUUCAACCCUCAAGCUUAGCUUGGUAUUGAGUCUAUGUCAGUAAUGGCAGGCUCUAAAAUCAGUGGCGGCGCCGCUGGGUCCUGAACGUAGUAAUAUCUCUCGUUACAGGUUCUCGGUGUGCUUCUGCCAAAACCCAAAUUUUUCUAUGGUGACCUCGGAUCAGGUAGAGACACCCACUGAACUUAAGCAUAUCAAUAAGGCGGGAGGAA
rnacentral:rRNA from 1 species